UGGGGAAUCUUGCACAAUGGGGGCAACCCUGAUGCAGCGACGCCGCGUGAGCGAUGAAGCCCUUCGGGGCGUAAAGCUCUUUCGACCGGAACGAUAAUGACGGUACCGGGAGAAGAAGCUGCGGCUAACUACGUGCCAGCAGCCGCGGUAAUACGUAGGCCGCAAGCGUUGUUUGGAGUUACUGGGCGUAAAGAGUGGGUAGGCGGUUUUCUAAGUUCGGUGUGAAAUCUCCGGGCUUAACUGGGAGGGUGCGCCGAAGACUGGGAAGCUGGAGUGUGGGAAAGGCCGGCGGAAUUCCUGGUGUAGCGGUGAAAUGCGUAGAUAUCAGGAGGAACACCGGCGGUGUAGACGGCUUGCUAGACCAUAACUGACGCUGAGGCACGAAAGCGUGGGUAGCAAACA
rnacentral:rRNA from 1 species